GCGUGCUUAACACAUGCAAGUCGAACGCUGAAGCUCAGCUUUUGUUGGGUGGAUGAGUGGCGAACGGGUGAGUAACACGUGAGUAACCUGCCCCCUUCUUUGGGAUAACGCCCGGAAACGGGUGCUAAUACUGGAUAUUCACUGGUCUUCGCAUGGGGGUUGGUGGAAAGGGUUUUUCUGGUGGGGGAUGGGCUCGCGGCCUAUCAGCUUGUUGGUGGGGUGAUGGCCUACCAAGGCUUUGACGGGUAGCCGGCCUGAGAGGGUGACCGGUCACAUUGGGACUGAGAUACGGCCCAGACUCCUACGGGAGGCAGCAGUGGGGAAUAUUGCACAAUGGGCGCAAGCCUGAUGCAGCGACGCCGCGUGAGGGAUGGAGGCCUUCGGGUUGUGAACCUCUUUCGCUCAUGGUCAAGCCGCAACAAUGGUUGUGGUGAGGGUAGUGGGUAAAGAAGCGCCGGCUAACUACGUGCCAGCAGCCGCGGUAAUACGUAGGGCGCGAGCGUUGUCCGGAAUUAUUGGGCGUAAAGGGCUUGUAGGCGGUUGGUCGCGUCUGCCGUGAAAUCCUCUGGCUUAACUGGGGGCGUGCGGUGGGUACGGGCUGACUUGAGUGCGGUAGGGGAGACUGGAACUCCUGGUGUAGCGGUGGAAUGCGCAGAUAUCAGGAAGAACACCGGUGGCGAAGGCGGGUCUCUGGGCCGUUACUGACGCUGAG
rnacentral:rRNA from 1 species